UUCCUACGUACCCAAGGUCGAGGAUAGCUCGGGGAAACCCGGGGUAAUACUCGAUGUGGUGCUUCGGCAUCAAAGGCUUGCCGCCUUGGGAGCGGGGAAUGUCCUAUCAGGUUGUUGGUGAGGUAAAGGCUCACCAAGCCAAAGACGGGUAGCGGGUGUGAGAGCACGACCCGCCGCAUCGGGACUGAGACACUGCCCGGACUCCUACGGGAGGCUGCAGUAACGAAUCUUCCGCAAUGCACGAAAGUGUGACGGGGCAAUACCGCGUUGGGAUGAAGCUCCUCGGAGUGUAAACC
rnacentral:rRNA from 1 species